rnacentral:tRNA from 1 species
GGACCAAUAGCUCAAGUAGAGCCCAGUCAUCGCAUGGCUGGAGAUCCAGGUUCAAGUCCUGGUCGGUCCA